UAAUUUCGACUUUAGAUACAAUGUCUUUGGAGAUAGUUUUUCAACAGUAUCUCUCAACCUUAGUCUUUUUAAGCUAUCUAAUGACCAGGUUCAAGGGUUUUAAAGAAGAUGUUCGGGCAACCGUCGGGUGCCCCUCAUUGAAAACUAGGGUGCAUAAGAGGAUCGUUCUCAUCACGCCAUUUUGACCACCUUGCGAGGAGAAUCUCCAAUCUGAUAUUCCUUCCAUAGGCAGGAAUAGAUGGCAGGAGUGGUACUACUACUUCCAACUUCAUCCUUUACAUCAUACAUAUGUUGAGCUUUCUUGCUGCAUCGAUAGAAUUGAAGUCUGCCUGGGCUGUGGAGAAGGGUUCCUCUUCUCUCUACUUAUAGUGUAAUGAAGGAAGAAGUAAUUCCCAGCCAUCCCGCUAUUACGUCCUCACGUCAGAAAAAGAAUAAGGGACAACUUGGGAUCUGGUCUUUCCACCCGACAAAAACAUCGACAAGUAUUCCACCCUAAGUGCAGAAUUAAUUAAGAAUUUUCAUAGAAUAGAUCAGUAAAGACCUUUCGGCGCCAGCCAAGAUCUAUCACAGAAGCUGGGAUUCACCGUGCAGAUUGUUGUUCCUAUUUGAAGUGGCUCAUUUCGUACUAGAGACCUCACCCGAGACAAGCUAACACAGACUCCGGAGAACUCCAGUGGUCAAGUUUUGUUAUGAACUAGCUGGACAAAGAUGAAUUGAAGGUCAGAUAAAUUGGAGUGAAAGUGGCACAGGACCUUCGAUCUGAAUAAUUUCAUUUUAAUAUUUAUUAAUAGUCGGUCGAGAUGAAGAGAUUUCAUCUUCAAGGAUCUGUAGUCUUUCUUCUAAUUAAAGCUUUUUAAUAUUCAAAUUUCUAACAAUUUUGGUCAUAAUUUCAUAGCUAUUGCAAAGUUGUAUGGAUGGGGACGAAGAUGACGCUUGAGAAGUAAUGGUUUGC
rnacentral:lncRNA from 1 species